rnacentral:rRNA from 1 species
AAACAUCGCCUCUUGAAUUAGAUAAGAGGUCCAGCCUGCCCAGUGAAAUUAUUCAACGGCCGCGGUAUUCUAACCGUGCGAAGGUAGCGUAAUCACUUGUUCUUUAAAUGAGGACUAGUAUGAAUGGCACCACGAGGGUUCUACUGUCUCCUUUUUAAAAUCAGUGAAACUAAUCUUCCCGUGAAGAAGCGGGAAUUUUUUUAUAAGACGAGAAGACCCUAUGGAGCUUUAAACAAAUGACAUUUGCUUCAUCUAAUACUUUUAUCUGCAAGAAAUAUAGCAUUAUGAUCUUUAGUUUUCGAUUGGGGUGAUCACGGAGUAAAAUUUAACCUCCACGCCGAAAGGGUUUAUCCCCUAAGCAAAAAGCUACAGCUUUAGGCACUAAAAAAUUAACGUAAUUUGACCCAAUAUUUUGAUCAACGAACCAAGUUACCCUAGGGAUAACAGCGCAAUCCACUUCAAGAGCUCCUAUCGACAAGUGGGUUUACGACCUCGAUGUUGGAUCAGGGUAUCCUAGUGGUGCAGCCGCUACUAAUGGUUCGUUUGUUCAACGAUUAAAACCCUACGUGAUCU